UCACUCUUGAGAUGCUUUUGGUGGUUGAAAACCUUUAAUGUUCAAGUGGAAUAACUCUUUUCUUGUCUACUACUGUUUACCCUGGCUAUUUAAGUGAUCCCCUUUGAAAAAUAGCCGUUAGAGAGGAGAUUAGAGCCAUUCUGACCCAUCUGCACAAUCUGACAAUGUAUCCGUUGGGAUUGGAGUUGACUCGCGCAAUCUGGAGUCGACUCGCGCUAUACUGGAGACGACUCGGCCACUAUUCUAAAUUUGAAUUAAAGUGCAUGCCUUGUCCUGGAGUCGACUCGCCAACAGCUGAAGACGACUC
rnacentral:lncRNA from 1 species